UACGAAGGUGGCAAGCGUUGUUCGGAUUUACUGGGCGUACAGGGAGCGUAGGCGGUUGGAUAAGCCCUCCGUGAAAUCUCCAGGCUUAACCUGGAAAGUGCAGAGGGGACUGUUCAGCUAGAGGAUGGGAGAGGAGCGCGGAAUUCCCGGUGUAGCGGUGAAAUUCGUAGAUAUCGGGAGGAACACCAGUGGCGAAGGCGGCGAUCUGGGAAGAUACUGACGCUGAGGUGCGAAAGCGUGGGGAGCAAACAGG
rnacentral:rRNA from 1 species